CACGUAGGGUGCGAGCGUUGUCCGGAAUUAUUGGGCGUAAAGAGCUCGUAGGCGGUGUGUCGCGUCGGCCGUGAAAACCUGCAGCUUAACUGUGGGCGUGCGGUCGAUACGGGCAUCACUGGAGUUCGGCAGGGGAGACUGGAAUUCCUGGUGUAGCGGUGAAAUGCGCAGAUAUCAGGAGGAACACCGGUGGCGAAGGCGGGUCUCUGGGCCCGAUACUGACGCUGAGGAGCGAAAGCGUGGGGAGCGAACAGG
rnacentral:rRNA from 1 species